UACGUAGGGUGCAAGCGUUGUCCGGAAUUAUUGGGCGUAAAGAGCUCGUAGGCGGUUGUCGCGUCUGCUGUGAAACCCGAGGCUCAACCUCGGCCUGCAGUGGUACGGCAGACUAGAGUGCGGUAGGGAGAUUGGAAUUCCUGGUGUAGCGGUGGAAUGCGCAGAUAUCGAGGAGGAACACCAAUGGCGAAGGCAGAUCUCUGGCCGUAACUGACGCUGAGGAGCGAAGCAUGGGAGCGAACAGG
rnacentral:rRNA from 1 species